CCCCCCCCCCCAACUUUCUUCCCCCGUGGGUUCCUCCCCAAUCAGCACCACAAGCCUCGGCGUGCACCUGCCCCUUCCCACCUCUCCGUCGAUCUGGCCCGCUUUCCGGUUUGAAUCCGAGCCGUGGCUCGUGACGUCACGUGCGUCCUGAUCCGCGGGCCAGAAAACAUGCUUUCCGGUUAGGUCGACGGUGGCCGAGUAAAUGCGAUGGGCAAGCGGGUCUCCCUGGUUCAGUUGGUCGGCUGCGGAGGCUGAGCUCGGUGCCAUUCGAUGCGUACGAAGGAGAGGAAAACGAUCCUUGAAUAUGGAGUUUCUCUUGCAGUUGAUUAAGAGAAGAACCAUCAUGGUUCCUGGAGGAGGUUAAUGCCAACGAGAUUCCGAUUGAGCUUCUGCAGUAUCCAGUACUAGCACCUGCACCAGAAUUGCCUGCGCAGUUGUCAAUGGAGGAGCUGCUGCCUUGGCGGCGAACAUCGGCGGGGGUCAAAUCUGUGUGGCGGUGGGGGUGGCGGACGGUGAAAUUGCACUCUAAUAGACGCAAGCUUCAGAAUAGUCUGAGUAGAUCGGCCCAAAAGCGCCUAGAUGGACACAAAGGUUUGGAGUCAUCGUGUUAGUUCAGAAUUUUUUUCAGAAAGUUUUUGGUGUCGUACAAGAGUGCAAGGAUGAUGGGAUGAGUGCAGUGCGUGGCAACAUGAAAAAUGUAGAUAAAACAGUGUUGGUCAGAUGGAUAUUCAAUCUCUGCACCCCUGAAAAUACAGAGAACAUAUUCAUAUUCUGGCCGUUUUGAAAUAGUUCAGAUGUGUAUGUUGUCUGUUGCA